rnacentral:rRNA from 1 species
GACGGAGGAGGCAAGCGUUAUCCGGAAUUAUUGGGCGUAAAGCGUCCGCAGGCGGCUUUUUAAGUCUGUUGUCAAAGCCCACAGCUCAACUGUGGAUCGGCAAUGGAAACUGGGAAGCUAGAGUGUGGUAGGGGUAGAGGGAAUUCCAGGUGUAGCGGUGAAAUGCGUAGAUAUCUGGAGGAGCACCGGUGGCGAAGGCGGCAUCCUGGACCGAUACUGACACUGAGGAGCGAAAGCCAGGGGAGCAAACGGG